rnacentral:rRNA from 1 species
CAAUAGCGUAUAUUAAAGUUGUUGCAGUUAAAAAGCUCGUAGUUGGAUUUGUGGCGUACGGUGUGUUCCGGGCACUUGUUGUCUGAGUAACCUGCUGUUGCCAUCCUUGGGUGGAACCUGUGUGGCAUUAGGUUGUCGUGCAGGGGAUGCCCAUCAUUUACUGUGAAAGAAUUAGAGUGUUCAAAGCAGGCUUAUGCCGUUGAAUAUAUUAGCAUGGAAUAAUGAGAUAGGACUUUUUUGCUAUUUUGUUGGUUUGCGCAAGAAGGUAAUGAUUAAUAGGGACAGUUGGGGGUAUUCGUAUUCCAUUGUUAGAGGUGAAAUUCUUGGAUUUUUGGAAGACGAACUACUGCGAAAGCAUUUACCAAGGAUGUUUUCAUUAA